AAAAAAUGUCAUAUGUCAAAUUUUUUCAUGUUCCUAGUACCUAUCUUAUUUUACUUGAAAUUUUUCUCUGAGGCGCGAAUUCUGACACCCAAUAUUAGACAGCGUAUGUACUGUGCCUUUAGACUACUUUACACUGGUGCUGAACGUUAACAACACAAGAAAAGUUUUACAAGUUUACCCAGCUUUGGCAGGUUUUUCUUCGCAAUAAAAAACAUCAGCAAAAAAACUAAUUAGUUCUAGCAUUUUUGAGUCUUGAACAAAUUGAUUUUUCAAACCAUUAUAAUAUCCAGAAGUCUUGG